rnacentral:rRNA from 1 species
UACGUAGGGGCAAGCGUUGUCCGGAUUUAUUGGGCGUAAAGAGCGUGUAGGCGGCUUGGUAGGUCUCGCGUCAAAACCUGAGGCUCAACCUCAGUUCGCGUGGGAAACCACCUAGCUAGAGUCCGGAAGAGGAGAACGGAAUUCCCAGUGUAGCGGUGAAAUGCGCAGAUAUUGGGAAGAACACCAGUGGCGAAGGCGGUUCUCUGGGACGGUACUGACGCUGAGACGCGAAAGCGUGGGGAGCGAACAGG